rnacentral:lncRNA from 1 species
AAAAACGAGGAUGCAGUCUGGUUAUGGGGGAUGUCGGUGGUUUGUGAGAUUUGGUUUGCCUUCUCUUGGCUUCUUGAUCAACUGCCCAAGCUCUGUCCUAUUAAUCGUUCCACCGAUCUUAAUGUUUUGAAGGAGAAAUUUGAAACACCUAGCCCCAACAACCCCACUGGAAAAUCUGAUCUCCCAGGCAUAGAUAUUUUUGUCUCCACUGCUGAUCCAGAGAAGGAACCGCCUCUUGUCACUGCAAAUACCAUCUUGUCCAUCCUAGCUGCUGAUUAUCCUGUUGAAAAGCUUGCUUGCUAUGUUUCUGAUGAUGGAGGUGCACUGCUAACUUUUGAAGCCAUGGCAGAAGCUGCUAGCUUUGCAAACACAUGGGUUCCGUUUUGCAGAAAGCAUGAUAUUGAGCCAAGGAACCCAGAAACUUAUUUCAAUUUAAAGAGGGAUCCUUAUAAGAACAAAGUGCGGCCUGACUUUGUCAAGGACCGUAGACGGGUCAAGCGUGAGUAUGAUGAGUUCAAGGUGAGAAUCAAUGGCUUGCCUGAUUCUAUCCGUCGCCGAUCUGAUGCAUAUCAUGCUCGGGAGGAAAUCAAGGCAAUGAAACUUCAGAGACAGAAUAGAGACGAUGAAGCUGUGGAGACUGUGAAGGUCCCUAAAGCUACUUGGAUGGCUGAUGGAACCCAUUGGCCUGGGACUUGGAUGAAUCCUGGAUCCGAGCACUCUAAGGGUGAUCAUGCUGGAAUAAUACAGGUAUUACCCUUUAUUCAUAUAAUUGCUGAAGUAUCAAUCAGCUCUUUAGGUGGCCUGUGUAUACUUCCUGUAUACUUUGGGAUGUUGUUUGGGCAUUUCCUUUUAAUAUACACUCAUUGUUUUACCUAUGAAAAAAAAAUGAAUUAGCUCUUUAAGGUUGUGUUAAAAUGAAAAGAAAAGCUGAACAUGACCUUCUUAAAUGAUUCAGGUGAUGCUGAAACCCCCGAGUGAUGAGCCUUUGCAAAGUACUGCUGAUGAUACCAGACUAAUUGACCUCACUGAUGUGGACAUUCGUCUCCCCUUGCUUGUUUAUGUUUCCCGUGAGAAGCGUCCUGGCUAUGAUCACAACAAGAAAGCAGGGGCCAUGAAUGCAUUGGUUCGAGCAUCAGCAAUCAUGUCCAAUGGUCCUUUCAUUCUCAACCUUGACUGUGACCACUACAUCUACAACUCCCAGGCCAUGAGAGAAGGCAUGUGUUUCAUGAUGGACCGGGGUGGUGAUCGCAUUUGCUAUGUACAGUUCCCUCAGAGGUUUGAGGGUAUUGAUCCAUCUGAUCGAUAUGCAAAUCACAACACUGUUUUCUUUGAUGUCAAUAUGCGUGCCCUUGAUGGAUUACAGGGCCCAGUCUAUGUUGGAACUGGAUGCCUCUUCAGAAGGAUUGCCCUUUAUGGCUUUGACCCACCUAGAUCAAAAGAACACCAUCCUGGUUGCUGCAGCUGCUGCUUUUCUCGUCGCAAGAAGCAUGUUAGUGUUGCCACUACCCCAGAAGAGAACCGAGCCUUGAGGAUGGGCGAUUCUGAUGAUGAAGAAAUGAGCCUCUCCCUUCUUCC